CCUACGGGAGGCAGCAGUGGGGAAUUUUCCGCAAUGGGCGAAAGCCUGACGGAGCAACGCCGCGUGAGGGAUGAAGGCCUCUGGGCUGUAAACCUCUUUUAUCAAGGAAGAAGAUCUGACGGUACUUGAUGAAUAAGCCACGGCUAAUUCCGUGCCAGCAGCCGCGGUAAUACGGGAGUGGCAAGCGUUAUCCGGAAUUAUUGGGCGUAAAGCGUCCGCAGGCGGCCCAGAAAGUCUGCUGUUAAAACGUGGAGCUUAACUCCAUCAUGGCAGUGGAAACUGUUGGGCUUGAGUGUGGUAGGGGCAGAGGGAAUUCCCGGUGUAGCGGUGAAAUGCGUAGAUACCGGGAAGAACACCAGUGGCGAAGGCGCUCUGCUGGGCCAUCACUGACGCUCAUGGACGAAAGCCAGGGGAGCGAAAGGGAUUAGAUACCCCUGUAGUCCUGGCCGUAAACGAUGAACACUAGGUGUCGGGGGAAUCGACCCCCUCGGUGUCGUAGCCAACGCGUUAAGUGUUCCGCCUGGGGAGUACGCACGCAAGUGUGAAACUCAAAUGAAUUGACGG
rnacentral:rRNA from 1 species